AAGCGCUGCGGCAGGCCUAACACAUGCCAAGUCGGGCGGUAACAGGGAUAGCUUGCUAUCUUGCUGACGAGCGGCGGACGGGUGAGUAAUGCAUAGGAAUCUGCCUGGUAGUGGGGGAUAGCCCAGAGAAAUUUGGAUUAAUACCGCAUACGCCCUACGGGGGAAAGCAGGGGACCCAUUCUUUUAGGAGAGUGGACCUUGCGCUAUCAGAUGAGCCUAUGUCGGAUUAGCUUGUUGGUGAGGUAACGGCUCACCAAGGCGACGAUCCGUAGCUGGUCUGAGAGGAUGAUCAGCCACACUGGGACUGAGACACGGCCCAGACUCCUACGGGAGGCAGCAGUGGGGAAUAUUGGACAAUGGGCGCAAGCCUGAUCCAGCCAUGCCGCGUGUGUGAAGAAGGCCUUCGGGUUGUAAAGCACUUUCAGCGAGGAGGAAAGGGGUGUUGCUAAUAUCAACGCCCUGUGACGUUACUCGCANAAGAAGCACCGGCUAACUCCGUGCCAGCAGCCGCGGUAAU
rnacentral:rRNA from 1 species